UACGUAGGGGGCGAGCAUUGUCCGGAUUUAUUGGGCGUAAAGAGCUCGUAGGCGGUUUGGUAAGUUGGAUGUGAAAUCUCCAGGCUCAACUUGGAGGGGUCAUUCGAUACUGCCAUGGCUAGAGUUCGGUAGGGGAGUGUGGAAUUCCUGGUGGAGCGGUGAAAUGCGCAGAUAUCAGGAGGAACACCCGUAGCGAAGGCGGCACUCUGGGCCGGAACUGACGCUGAGGAGCGAAAGCGUGGGGAGCGAACAGG
rnacentral:rRNA from 1 species